ACAGAAGUGACAUCUAAUGGACUGCUGGUGGUAAAAAGAAAAAGAAGAAUUGACAUAGACAGUAACAGUGAUAAAAUGGUAACAGCACAAGCAUGGAUGGAGGCUACGUUGAUGAUGUGCAUGUAGGAGCCAAAGUAGUGCUUGUGGUGAUAGUGCCAUGUUAAGCAGGGUGAAAUUGGUGAUUCUAAUUGCUAGCAUGAUAGCUGGUGGUGCUAGUAGAG
rnacentral:misc_RNA from 1 species